rnacentral:misc_RNA from 1 species
UCCGGUUUGGCACCGGCAGUCCUCCCAGAGUCCCCGACUUGACUCGCUGGCAACUGGGAGCGGGGGUUGCGCUCGUUGCGGGACUUAACCCAACAUCUCACGACACGAGCCGACGACAGCCAUGCAGCACCUGUGCUAGCCCUAUAACGGCACGGGCUUUCACCCGCUUUAACUAGCAUGUCAAGCCUAGGUAAGGUUCUUCGCGUUGCAUCGAAUUAAGCCACAUGCUCCGCCGCUUGUGCGGGCCCCCGUCAAUUCCUUUGAGUUUUAAUCUUGCGACCGUACUCCCCAGGCGGAAUGCUUAAAGCGUUAGCUGCGCCACUGAGCAGCAAGCUGCCCAACGGCUGGCAUUCAUCGUUUACGGCGUGGACUAC